UUAACCAGAAAGUCACGGCUAACUACGUGCCAGCAGCCGCGGUAAUACGGUAGGUGGCAAGCGUUAUCCGGAUUUUAUUGGGCGUAAAGAGAGUGCAGGCGGUUUUCUAAGUCUGAUGUGAAAGCCUUCGGCUUAACCGGAGAAGUGCAUCGGAAACUGGAUAACUUGAGUGCAGAAGAGGGUAGUGGAACUCCAUGUGUAGCGGUGGAAUGCGUAGAUAUAUGGAAGAACACCAGUGGCGAAGGCGGCUACCUGGUCUGCAACUGACGCUGAGACUCGAAAGCAUGGGUAGCGAACAGGAUUAGAUACCCUGGUAG
rnacentral:rRNA from 1 species